rnacentral:rRNA from 1 species
UACAGAGGUCCCAAGCGUUGUUCGGAUUCACUGGGCGUAAAGGGUGCGUAGGCGGUCGGGUAAGUCUGAUGUGAAAUCUCACAGCUUAACUGUGAAACUGCAUUGGAUACUAUCCGGCUCGAGGAAUGGAGGGGAGACUGGAAUACUUGGUGUAGCAGUGAAAUGCGUAGAUAUCAAGUGGAACACCAGUGGCGAAAGCGGCUUCCUGGUCCGACACCGACGUCAGGCACGAAAGCGUGGGGAGCAAACAGGG